UCUAAGAGUUCUCACCGGGACAUCCAGAGCGGCAUCAGAGCAGGGGGAUCUGUCAGCCAGAGGGCACAGCGAGGAGGAGAAAACAUAGCAGGGGUUACUGCCAGAGAAAAGGUGCCUCCAGCCACUUUCCUCAAUCAGGAAAUCAAUGAGAGCCUGUUUGGUAAGUAAAAGUCACCUCUGUGCCUCUUCCUGAAGCCUGCAGCCCGUGAAUGAGCUUUGCUUUGCUGCCUCAUUGGUUGUCUGGCAACACAGGCACGGAGCGCAGCUCCAGCCUCAUUCAUAAUUAUCACCGAGCCUCGGGAGCUGCAAAUCCGAACGGGAACACCUCGGGCUCCUCUCCGAGCAGGUAUCUCCAUCUGAAAAAUGAGAUGCUUCACAUGGGAACAAAAUGUUUUUGACCACACAGAACCGAUGACAAGAAAUCUGAAUUUCUCUUCCUCGAGGAGUUUCAAAGUGUUGAUGGAUUGUCCUGAUGCACAACAUGAAACCCUUCCAAAAUCUUACAGCUCUUCAGGGAACAGGAAAAAUCUUCCCACACACUUCUUGCGGCAAGGGAGCCCACAUUUAAAGGAAGGUGUGUUCCCAAGAAUCUGAUCUGUGGCAAAGUGCAAGGACCCACAGUCCUCAUGUGGAGAAUGGAGGCCCUUUUUGUUUGGGGUGUGAUGGAGUUGCAGGGCCUAAGGUAGGUGAUGAGUUUGAGAGAUAAGUCAAUAGUUUUGGAGGAAAUUGUAAGAAAUGGUGGGGCUGAGUGUCCCCUCUUUGGCUCCAUGACUUUAGAGGCUCAUUUGCUCUUUCUCAGCCCUCAUUUAAAGGAAGAUGUGCUCCCAAGAGCCUGAGGUGUGGCAAAGUGCAAGGACCUGAGGGGAAAAUUUACCAAAGGUUGAUAUGAUGUGGGACUUGUGCUUGCAAA